rnacentral:rRNA from 1 species
GUCCCUCUCAGGACGAACGCUGGCGGCGUGCCUAAUACAUGCAAGUCGAGCGGACAGAAGGGAGCUUGCUCCCGGAUGUUAGCGGCGGACGGGUGAGUAACACGUGGGUAACCUGCCUGUAAGACUGGGAUAACUCCGGGAAACCGGAGCUAAUACCGGAUAGUUCCUUGAACCGCAUGGUUCAAGGAUGAAAGACGGUUUCGGCUGUCACUUACAGAUGGACCCGCGGCGCAUUAGCUAGUUGGUGAGGUAACGGCUCACCAAGGCGACGAUGCGUAGCCGACCUGAGAGGGUGAUCGGCCACACUGGGACUGAGACACGGCCCAGACUCCUACGGGAGGCAGCAGUAGGGAAUCUUCCGCAAUGGACGAAAGUCUGACGGAGCAACGCCGCGUGAGUGAUGAAGGUUUUCGGAUCGUAAAGCUCUGUUGUUAGGGAAGAACAAGUGCAAGAGUAACUGCUUGCACCUUGACGGUACCUAACCAGAAAGCCACGGCUAACUACGUGCCAGCAGCCGCGGUAAUACGUAGGUGGCAAGCGUUGUCCGGAAUUAUUGGGCGUAAAGGGCUCGCAGGCGGUUUCUUAAGUCUGAUGUGAAAGCCCCCGGCUCAACCGGGGAGGGUCAUUGGAAACUGGGAAACUUGAGUGCAGAAGAGGAGAGUGGAAUUCCACGUGUAGCGGUGAAAUGCGUAGAGAUGUGGAGGAACACCAGUGGCGAAGGCGACUCUCUGGUCUGUAACUGACGCUGAGGAGCGAAAGCGUGGGGAGCGAACAGGAUUAGAUACCCUGGUAGUCCACGCCGUAAACGAUGAGUGCUAAGUGUUAGGGGGUUUCCGCCCCUUAGUGCUGCAGCUAACGCAUUAAGCACUCCGCCUGGGGAGUACGGUCGCAAGACUGAAACUCAAAGGAAUUGACGGGGGCCCGCACAAGCGGUGGAGCAUGUGGUUUAAUUCGAAGCAACGCGAAGAACCUUACCAGGUCUUGACAUCCUCUGACAACCCUAGAGAUAGGGCUUUCCCUUCGGGGACAGAGUGACAGGUGGUGCAUGGUUGUCGUCAGCUCGUGUCGUGAGAUGUUGGGUUAAGUCCCGCAACGAGCGCAACCCUUGAUCUUAGUUGCCAGCAUUCAGUUGGGCACUCUAAGGUGACUGCCGGUGACAAACCGGAGGAAGGUGGGGAUGACGUCAAAUCAUCAUGCCCCUUAUGACCUGGGCUACACACGUGCUACAAUGGACAGAACAAAGGGCUGCGAGACCGCAAGGUUUAGCCAAUCCCACAAAUCUGUUCUCAGUUCGGAUCGCAGUCUGCAACUCGACUGCGUGAAGCUGGAAUCGCUAGUAAUCGCGGAUCAGCAUGCCGCGGUUGAAUACGUUCCCGGGCCUUGUACACACCGCCCGUCACACCACGAGAGUUUGCAACACCCGAAGUCGGUGAGGUAACCUUUAUGGAGCCAGCCGCCGAAGGUGGGGCAGAUGAUUGGGUGACUA